AACGUAGGACGCAAGCGUUAUCCGGAGUUACUGGGCGUAAAGCGCGGGCAGGCGGCUUCGCAAGUUCGAUGUGAAAUCUCUCAGCUCAACUGGGAGCAGCCAUUGGAAACCACGAAGCUGGAGUCUGGCAGAGGUAGGCGGAAUUCCGGGUGGAGUGGUGAAAUGCGUAGAGAUCCGGAGGAACACCAGAGGCGAAGGCGGCCUACUGGGCCAGUACUGACGCUGAGACGCGAAAGCGUGGGUAGCAAACAGG
rnacentral:rRNA from 1 species